CCUACGGGAGGCAGCAGUGAGGAAUAUUGGUCAAUGGGCGCGAGCCUGAACCAGCCAAGUCGCGUGAAGGAUGACUGUCCUACGGGUUGUAAACCUCUUUUAUCAAGGAAUAAAGUAAGCCACGUGUGCCUUUCUGUAUGUACUUUAUGAAUAAGCAUCGGCUAACUCCGUGCCAGCAGCCGCGGUAAUACGGAGGAUCCGAGCGUUAUCCGGAUUUAUUGGGUUUAAAGGGUGCGGAGAUGGAUAGUUAAGUCAGUGGUGAAAGUUUGCGGCUCAACCGUAAAAUUGCAAUUGAUACUGGCAGUCUUGAGUACAGUAGAGGUAGGCGGAAUUCGUGGUGUAGCGGUGAAAUGCUUAGAUAUCACGAAGAACUCCGAUUGCGAAGGCAGCUUACUAGCCCUCCACUGACGUUGAUGCACGAAAGUGUGGGUAUCAAACAGGAUUAGAUACCCGGGUAGUC
rnacentral:rRNA from 1 species